CCCCUAAACGCCGCUUCCUCAACCAAGCGGAGGCGUUCCCUUCGAUAACGUCGCCAUUGUCGGGCAGUAGGGAAACGCAGCUAUGGCACAGUUUGCUACACCUAGUUUCAUACGAUACUGCAGAUACGCCUGGUAGGUUUUUUGAUCGGAGCAGUGGGGGGUGGGUUGAGGGUGCUGCGGGACUAUUGCGCUGGUCGGGUGAUGAUCGGUGAACUGAGGGCGCAGGCACGGUGUUCCGGUGGGCUAUAGGAGCAGAGGGUAGGAUAUUAUGGAGAAAGUUCCCGGAGCAUGUGCUAUGGAAUGGAGUAUUGAGCUUGAGAAAGGGCUUCGAUCGAAGAAGCCCGGUCAUCAUAUCGAGGCAAUACAACAAAUUGGUCGUAAACUUCAACAGUGGAGUAUGGAACCUAACAUAACCAUGGCAAUAUCGGAUGUGUAUUGCAUGAUUCCAGGAGAGGAUAGAUUAUUUGCUAACACAAUCAUUCUAAGGCUUGCUAAUGCAUUUUGCAAUGGAGAUAUAGAGGUAAGAAGGUGCAUCUUGAAAGUUUUCCUUGUGGAAUUGCAGCACAUCACCAAGAAGGGAAAAUUGUAUGACGGUAUUUUGGCUAGGAAGCGGGUACCGAAUUACUUAGAACUUCUUAAAAGACUGAAAUCAGUAUAUGACGCUGGUGAUCUUGAAGCGAAGUGCUUGACUUUGAGGUUGUUUGGUUGUUGGGCUGGUCUAGCGAAGGAUAGUUCUCACAUAUGCUUUUUGAUCCUUACUAGCAUGCAAUCAAACCAUGAUUCUGAGGUAAUGGCAUCAUUAUUUGCUGCUGGUUGCUUUUCUAGAUUGUCUGAGGAUUUUGCCAGCAUUACUCUAAACAUACUGACUAGUAUUAUUUCUUCAAUAACAAGAUCCCCUGAUGUGAGGCUAGCAGCAGUUCGGGCUUUGGCUAGAAUGCAAUGCUCAUUUGCUAUUACCAACAAGGCAUAUCAGGCUGGUAGGAGAAUGUUACUGGAUUUGCCAUUGGAUGAUAUCAAGGCUGAGAUGUUGUCAUCACUUUCAAAGCUGGCUUCAAAGACAUCUCUAAUAUUCCCUGAUCAGCUUGAUUUGCUGCAAUCAUUCCUAAACCAUGAAUAUCCUGAUCCGUUGAAGGCUAGAGCAUUAAAGUGCCUAUAUGUUCUGCUUGGACGAAGUUCCUACCAUUUUCCUCUCAGGAAGAAUGUUCUUUCUGCAAUAUUCAGUAUCUUCGAUGAUGAUGAGUUUUCACUUGAUCUCCAAUGUUUAGCUUUGCAUAUUCUGUGGAAGAUAUUCUCUAAUAGGCUACUAAAUCUGCCAAUCACAGAUAUUCCUGAUUUAUUCAAGUUGGUUGCAGUAGUAAAAAAUGUGGAUACUCCCAAGAAAAAAAGAGGAUUUGCUCUUAACCUUCUUGUAAAUAUUGUGUGCUCCAUGAAGGAAGGUGAGAAAGAGCAUUUUGCUUCAGCAAAUUUGCUCUCCAGCAUUGCCCAACUUCGAGAUAAUUUGCCCUUUGUACCACUGAAUUCCAGUGGGUAUAGCCCAGCAUUACUUAUGAGCGAUAUUUCUUUUUUGAUUAUGGAUCAAGUUAACUUCCUUGUGAAGGAAAUAAUUUGCAGUUGUAAUAAUGAUCUUAAAUGUGUUGAAAAUCUGAAGUCUGGCAGUGAAUCGUUUGAACUGAAGAAAGAACUCAAGUACUUACUUAACCUUAUGUUGCGCCUUGUUCAAGAGGACCCUUCAUCAUGUUUGGUUGCAUUUAGUAAAUUAAGAUCUAUUGUUCACUCUCUGGUAAGUUUGCUUGAUGAGGGCAGUGGUAAAACAUCCACAGCUUGUGAGGCAGUUUCACAGAAGGAAAUAAAUGGUGAAAAUGAUGAUAUUGGCUUCAUUCUUUUGGAGUCUGAUGGAGAGCAAAUUACUGUUAUUUCAGCUCUUAUAUUGUGCUUUUGCAGGUUCGCAAAUGCUUGUUUAAGUAUCCUUCAUGAAACUAACUCAAUAAGCAGUGAAAUGCGACAUAUACUAAAGGAUGUUGUUAAUUGCAUUAAGCAGUCUGGAUAUUCUUGCUAUAGUUCAUUUGAAUUAUUUUGUCUUAGAAGUCAUUCAUUUUUAUUUAAUUAUGGUUCUAAAGAAGGUGAAGGGAAUAAAUUAGAAGGUGGUGAUGAAAUAUGCAGCCCAUCUAGUAUUUUCUUGCUCCAUCAGGAGUGUCUCGCACUUGACUUCACUAAGAAAAUGCUGCAAAGGGGUUAUUUCUGGGAAGUUUAUAGAGCUGGAAAAUAUUCUUGUUUACAAGGUCUCUGGUUUUCUGCCACCCUUUCUUUUCGUAAGCUAAUAGAUGUUGUAAAACACGGACGUUACUUUAACUGGAUUAAAGCUUUGAUGUUAUAUGUUGGUGGUGAAAGUGAAAUAAAAUUGCUGAUUUUUCCCAAAGUUGGUUUUGAGCUGAUUAACAGCUUCCAGUUUGCAAGUGAUAGUGACCAGCCUUUUAGCUACGGUAGAGGAGAAGCAGAUGCAUGCGUUGGUGAUCAUUAUGAUUGGAAUGCUUUUAGGGGAAAUCUUUCUAGGGUUUGCAGCAGAAUUUUCUCUUCUGAGAAAGCCUUGGAAGUGACUGCUGAUAGCAAUGGUUCCUUAUUUUUUCAGAGAUUUUUUCUAUAUGUUAGAGGCAAGUUUCUUGAACUUGUGCUGGAGAUUCUUGGCCUUCUGAGCUUUAAUACACUUGCUAAGGAUAAAUUUGAAAACGGUACUAUAUUUAAUCCUUUAAGGGCUACAGAAGUUAUGCAUGAUAUGCACGUGCUUGUAUGUGCUUUGAAUAGGGCAUCUCUUAAGCUCAAUAAUUUAGCUAAAGGCUAUGAUCUUCUGGCUACAUCUUUCAUGGAUAUUGAUGCAGUAAGUUUUAGAGGUAUCUCAAGGCUUGGUGUCGUUUGUUCCACACUUGCCUUCUGCACUUCUUUUGGUACCAAUGUUUUAAUCUCACCUGCGUUCAGAAAUAUCAUGUCCUCAAGUGCAAAUAAUCUCAAAGUUUUUUGUAAUCUAAAUAUUGUACAAGAUUUAGUUGAGCGUUUAUGGGAUAUUGAUUACACAAUCACAAGAAAACUCAUGCAUUGUAUCUCGGUUAAAGGCAAAAUUAAGCAUGGGUUAUGCUCCAGAAUGAAUGUCCAUGGUUCUAACUUAUUUGACAAUGAUUCUUUAUCGCUUAUUCAAUCUUCAAUAAAUGGUAUUCUUUGUGUUCAAGCUGAUUUAGAAGUAGUUAAAGAUGUGGAGAUUCUAAUUUCAACUUUUCUACUGGGAUUGCAACAUCUUUCCUCCUCUAUUAGGAAAUGGACAGGGAUGCCCUUAGUCACUCCCAAGUAUUUUUUUAAUGUGAGGCCUUGUAUUGGUUCAGAGCUUUUUCUUUUCCAUGCAAACUCUGAACAUAAAGAUGAACUACUUGUCAGAACUGGUUUCCAGUUGCCAUUGAAUCUUUGCAUUCAAGUUAAGAACGCAACAGGCAUGAAGUGUGCUAACAUAGCUAAGAUCUACUGUGUUCUUGCUGUACGAUCAUCCGAUCGCUUCACUAUCGGAAGUAAAAGAAGGUUGGACCCUGCGCAAUGUGUCGUUCAAGAUCAUAAAGCUGAGGACAUGUUAUGGUUAAGUGAGAUUCUACAGCUUCAUUUGAGAGCCGAAACUGACGAGAUAGGUAAUGAACAUCAGGACGCUGUAGAUAAUGACAGCCUGAUAACUACUUUUGCCAGUUUUGUUCCCAACAAGAUGGGAUUGGGAUUUUCAACUUGCUUGCUCAAUGUUUCACAUUUGCCUGAGGGUUCUUAUCAUAUUAAAUGGCAUAGUUGUUGUGUUGAUGAUCGUGGUUUUUAUUGGAAUUUGAUACCUUUGAACAAUGAAUCUGUGUUUACUGUAAAGAAGAGUUGAUGCUGAUGUUCUCAAGCAUCUACAAGCAUUCUGAUUUCUACAAGAGCCUUUUUCCCGUCCCCGCAGCUCUCUUCGCACGUGAUACUCCAUUGCACGGAGGUCCAUAGAACUGGAGCCUAAUGUUGUCAACGUCGUCGAUAACGACACCAUGGCAAAGAGCAAGCAGAGAGAGAGAGAGAGGAGCGGGCUUCUCUGUUCUCAUGUGUAGGCCCUUUUCCCCGACCGCAAACCCAGCCAUGCUUUUAAAGCAAGCAUAUCACUCCAGGCCCCGGACCCAUGAAAAAGGCACCACUUUUACUCCUCUCUGUCUCUCUGUCUCUCUCUCUCACUUCCCCUAACCUCCAACCCUACACGUCCUCCUUUGACUCAGCUUUCCCUUCUCUUCCUAUAUACAUGUUACCACUCCCUUUACGCCGCCCGGAGCAAAAGAAAUGGAGGAGUUGUCUCAAAUUCCUUCUUUUGGGAGCUGGCACUAUUCCUUUGGUGAGGAAGAUCUCUUCCAAGUUCCCGUGGCCAUGCCGGUGAACUCUGCUGACCACUACGGCCACCAUUCUCAUAAAAAGGCGAGAAAUCAAAAGAAUGACCAUGACUUCGCGGCGCAAAUGCCAUGGAGGAGCAGAGCUCCCAAGGCAGUGGAUGAGGAUUUGUACAAGAUUCCUCAGGAGCUUCUCUAUCAGAAGCCCAAGAGGAAGAGGCUUAUGAGGAAUUUGUUAUCCGGGUGUCUGGGACUCAGCUGCAUCCCCUGAGCUUGUAAUGGAACCAUGCCAUUUCUCAUCCUGCUUGUUGUCUUCUCUCUGGUUUCUUUAUUGCCAUCAUUCAUUUGAGUAUGAGAUAUGGAAUAUAUUCCAGUUGUUGCUUUAUUUGUAUUUUA